GCCUCGGUGGUGUAAUGGAAAGCACGGCAGACCGGAUAUCUGUAAGUGCGGGUACGAGUUUCCGCCUGAGGUC
rfam:Dictyocaulus viviparus strain HannoverDv2000 D_viviparus-1.0_Cont14.50, whole genome shotgun sequence.